CCGUCCCAAGAAUUGACUCGGGCUAAGGGCAUAUAGGCUAAUUCGAAGACUGCAACAUUCUACACUAAAACCACUUAAGUAAAUACCGCGUUGCAGUAUUCCAGCCUAGAACGGAACACACUAUAAAAUGGCAUGUAUUAUGUUUUUACAGGGGGAUGGAAAAAUAUCGUGAACGGUGUGCUCUGGUUCCUGUCCCACAAUUACAAUGACUAUGGAUUCUACACGCUGGUAGUUUCCAAACAGUAUGGCUCCACUACUAGCCAGAUCAAAUUUAAUUUUGACGUCAAACAAACUGCAACACAAAGUUUUUCACGUAUUUCAUCUGCUUAAUAUAUAACAUUAAACAGACAAAAACCCGAAAAAAAUCGAACAACGGGUUUCGGAAAAAAAUCGAUGGAAAUGUGGCAAUUUUCUCGCUGUUUUAAGAUGGACACCUGUGUAAACCAUACACGACGUCGUAUAAAUUUAACAGGCCAUAACCGGUGUCGAUGUAAACAACAGUUUAGCGCGCGGCAGAUUUGAAAUUUUCAUUCAGAACGAAAUCAGCAUAUUUCUUGAACAGGAAUCACGGUCCAAAUGCCAGCUUGUUCACAAAGACACCAAGUGAAACGGAAAUACUGACAGUUACCGCUUUAUUAAAGAUUGCGAGUGACAUUGCAGAAGGCAUGACCUACUUAGCAACAAAACACUUGCACCGCGACCUAGCGACGCGCAAUUGCCUUGUCGGAAAGAAACUGCUGGUCAAAAUUGGAUACUUCGGGUCGUCCAGAGAUGCCUACAGCACCGAAUAUUAUUAAGUUGGUAACAGCGCGAUGUUACCCGUGCGCUGGUUGCCACCGGAAGCUCUGCUGUACCGAACAUUCACUGUGGCGUCGGACAUCUGGAGCUACGGUAUUCUGCUGUUGGAGAUAUUCACGUACGGACGCCAGCCGUGGUUCCAGCUCUCAAACCAAGAGGUGCGUGAAGUAUUGAACAUUACGUGAUCUCUUAUAUUCCCGCAAACGAAAUUUGAGGAUAAAAAAUUCAGUCACAGGGUAGAUUGGUUAGUCCGUAUAAAUUGUUAUAAGUUUUUAGAACGAAAUCCAUCCACAUUUAUGAAUACAUGUGCAAGACGCUUGUGUCAUUUCUUUGGAUCUACGCAUGCCUUAGUUCUUUACCCUUCAAAACAGUUCACAUAAGCAAAGCUAGUGAUUGUCAUUUGUGACAAAACUCUGGUUUGUAACUAAAUGAGAUUGUUUUCAAUGGUGACAACCGUGCCUUCCUCUGUUUACUUUAGAUGAAUAAUCGGUUCAGAUAUAUAUUUUUCUAAACUACUUUUAAGCCUUUACGCACUUUUUUCUUACAAAUGCACCAUACAUUUUAA